CCUCCUUGGCUGCUUAUGAAACAGAAACUAUCACCCACAGUCAGAAAUCCUCCUCCGCUUGCCGUCACCGUCCUCCUCGCUGUCAUGGUUUGCCAUCCGUCGGCGUGGCGACCGCGUACUCCUCCUGUCUGCAGUUUUAAGUAGCGACACGUUUAGKGUUUUUCUGCUGCAGGUUUCUGGUGCUUAAACUUCUACUAAACUCUGAACUCAAAGCCUUUUGUGUGRUUAGGAUAAAACACGGCGGUUGUCAAGGCAACAGUGGAGGAUACCGGCCAAAAGGACGAACGAUAAAAGCAGAAUAUUCAGAGUGACUCAUCAGCAGGACGGUGGUUGGUAGUAGUGUGGUAUCGUCAUCAGAGGCAGGUGUGAAGCGGUGCGAACCUCUCGCCUCUGGGAGCAGACACUGUGAGGUCAGAGGUCAGCUUUAACUACCGGGUUCACGACCUCGAGCUGGACGGACUCCCAAAGACCUCAGCUGGCCGCCGGCAUGGAGGCYGGGAACCAAACAGAGUUCAAGGCCUGAAGCUGGACUUUUAUGAUGCAGCUCUGGUUUAAUCCAGCAGCAGAAACUCAGAAACUCGUCCCAGACAGAAACGUCUCCCGUCAGCAGCUUCCAUUAUAUUCUGCUAAUGUUGAAAAAGCACAUUUUCACAAUUUCAGUGUCAUUAUUAAACAAGACACAAUUAAAAUCA